rnacentral:rRNA from 1 species
CACGUAGGGGGCGAGCGUUGUCCGGAUUUAUUGGGCGUAAAGAGCUCGUAGGCGGUUCGGCAAGUCGGGUGUGAAAUUUCGAGGCUCAACCUCGAAACGCCACUCGAUACUGCUGUGACUGGAGUCCGGUAGAGGAGUGCGGAAUUCCUGGUGUAGCGGUGAAAUGCGCAGAUAUCUGGAGGAACACCGGUGGCGAAGGCGGCAUCCUGGACCAACACUGACGCUGAGUGAGCGAAAGCCAGGGGAGCAAACGGG